CCUCGACAAGUCCAAAGACAUGCGGUACAGAUGAAUUGGUGGGAUGAUGAUGAUGCUCCAUACCCAACUCUACAGAUGGCUGAAAGUCCGUUUUAGAGGCAUUAUUACAUCCUUCGCCGUUUACUGUGUUUUCAACUUGGCUUAUCCACGCUACAUAAAGAAUGCAAAGGAUGAACAUCAGCAACUCCCCAAGAUGGAACAACAAUUUAAAUUUGAACGUCAGCAACGGUGUGAAGAUGGAGAUCCAAAAUUACAAGAAAAACAACUCAGUGCAGCUGUCCGAGAGAACUGGUAUUGCUGGGUCUGCAUCAAACAGCAAUGCUUGGAUCUUUGCAUUUACUUUGGUGCAUGCGUUUCGAGUCUGCAUCAGUAUUUUAAGACUAGCAGCUAUAGACAUUUCAAUAACAUUGCCCAAAUCAACUGAGAAGCACAAGAUGAAACAAUGCUAAGAAUUUUCUCCGCCCAACAUCCUUGAUGAGAUUGACACAUUCAGGUGUUCAAAUUGAACUGUUUUCGUGUGCAUGUGAGACCGCUAAUGGAGAAGAAAUUACUCUUUCCUAAUGAAAUACAUUUUAAAUGUCAAUACUGCACUGGUUUCUGUGUAGCAAGUUUUUAAUUCUGCUGUUGUAUGAUUCAUAUUUCCAUGCAAAUACAGUAAGAGUUUGACUUUGAAUGGGGUGUUAUAAACCAAGACAGACGGACUUUCAGGCUCUUGAAACAUACUCUUCUGAUAAAAUGUUUCUUAAGAAUGUUU